rnacentral:rRNA from 1 species
GACGAACGCUGGCGGCGUGCCUAAUACAUGCAAGUAGAACGAGUGGCGGACGGGUGAGUAAUAUAUCGGAACGUGCCCAGUAACGGGGGAUCACUACUCGAAAGAGUGGCUAAUACCGCCUACUAUUGGCGCGGCCGAUAUCGGAUUAGCUAGGUGGUGGGGGAAAGGGUCACCAAGGCAACGAUCCGUAGCUGGUUGGCGAGGACGACCAGCCACACUGGGACUGAGACACGGCCCAGACUCCUACGGGAGGCAGCAGUGGGGAAUUUUGGACAAUGGGGGAAACCCUGAUCCAGCCAUCCCGCGUGUAUGAGAAGGCCUUCGGGUUGUAAAGUACUUUUGGCAGAGAAGCGGGAUCUGCAGAAUAAGCACCGGCUAACUACGUGCCAGCAGCCGCGGUAAUUC